rnacentral:rRNA from 1 species
GAUGAACGCUGGCGGCGUGCCUAAUACAUGCAAGUCGAGCGCAGCGGGGACGGGUGAGUAACACGUGGAUAACCUCCUAUAAGACUGGGCUAACUUCGGGAAACCGGAGCUAAACCGGAUAAUUAUAGAUGGUUUCGCGCUGCAUUAGCUAGUUGGUAAGGUAACGAUUUACCAAGGCAACGAUGCAUAGCCGACCUGGGAGGGUGAUCGGCCAAACUGGAACUGAGACACGGUCCAGAAACCAACGGUAGUCAGCAGUAGGGAAUCUUCCGCAAUGGGCGAAAGCCAGACGGAGAAACGCCGCGUGAGUGAUGAAGGUCUUCGGAUCGUAAAACUCUGGUAUUAGGGAAGCGGUACCUAAUCAGAAAGCCACGGCUAACUACGUGCCAGCAGCCGCGGUAAUUC